AGAGUUUGAUCAUGGCUCAGGACGAACGCUGGCGGCGUGCUUAACACAUGCAAGUCGAACGGAAUCCAUGGUGUAGCAAUACACCGGAAGAUUUAGUGGCGAACGGGUGAGGAUCACGUGAGAAACGUGCCCCAGACUCUGGGAUAACAAUUGGAAACGAUUGCUAAUACCGGAUGACGUCGGAGAACCGCAUGGUUCACUGACGAAAGAUAUUUCGGUUUGGGAGCGUCUCGCGGCCUAUCAGCUUGUUGGUGGGGUAAUGGCCUACCAAGGCAACGACGGGUAGCUGGUCUGAGAGGAUGAUCAGCCACACUGGGACUGAGACACGGCCCAGACUCCUACGGGAGGCAGCAGUGGGGAAUCUUGCGCAAUGGGCGAAAGCCUGACGCAGCAACGCCGCGUGCGGGAUGAAGGCCUUCGGGCUGUAAACCGCUUUCAGCAGGAACGAAAAUGACGGUACCUGCAGAAGAAGGAGCGGCCAACUACGUGCCAGCAGCCGCGGUGACACGUAGGCUCCAAGCGUUGUCCGGAUUUAUUGGGCGUAAAGAGCUCGUAGGCGGUUGAGUAAGUCGGGUGUGAAAACUCUGGGCUUAACCCGGAGACGCCAUCCGAUACUGCUCUGACUAGAGUUCAGGAGGGGAGUGGGGAAUUCCUAGUGUAGCGGUGAAAUGCGCAGAUAUUAGGAGGAACACCGGUGGCGAAGGCGCCACUCUGGACUGAAACUGACGCUGAGGAGCGAAAGCAUGGGUAGCAAACAGGAUUAGAUACCCUGGUAGUCCAUGCCGUAAACGGUGGGCACUAGGUGUGGGUUCCAACUAACGGGAUCCGCGCCGUCGCUAACGCAUUAAGUGCCCCGCCUGGGGAGUACGGUCGCAAGACUAAAACUCAAAGGAAUUGACGGGGGCCCGCACAAGCAGCGGAGCGUGUUGCUUAAUUCGAUGCUACGCGAAGAACCUUACCUGGGUUUGACAUGUUUGGAAAAGCCACAGAGAUGUGGUGUCCGCAAGGGCC
rnacentral:rRNA from 1 species